UAACUUUCUACUAUACUCUUUUGUUCCUUUUUAAUGUUUUAGCGUGGGCAACUAUUACUCAUUUUUUUAAAAACCACAAAUAGACUAAGCGUAAUCAAAAGAAAGCCCCAUAGGCUGAGAGCCCUGGACCUGGUGCCCAGGGGGCGGGGAUAGCAUCAGCCUAGAUGGAAUCACGGCUAAGCCUUGGCCAGGCACAGCAGCAUCCCCUGGACUGCAUCUGUGACUCACACACUCACCUCUUGCCCUCCUAGACCCCAAACAUUGACCAUCCAGAUGGAAAGGAUGCCAGGGCUGUCUAGCUUGACACGCUGCCACUCCGGGGUGCCCAGGCCAGCUUCUCAGCCCCUGGCCCGCUCCAUCCCACCAGCUCUCCCAGGAACUACCAGCACCCACCUAAAGGCCACUAGCUGCCCUGUGAAAGGACAGGCCAGAGAUCCCUGGAGCUCGGAUGUAGAAGGAUGUAGGGAGCCGCCUGGUCCUGUCUCCCACUGCCACGGAGGGUAAGCCCUCUCACACUGUGCCCCAACCUGCUGCCUCCACGUGUCCCCGCCAGCCAGCUGCAGUCAGGGCAGGGGUGGUGCUGCAGCUGACUAUGAGCUUCCCCUCGGAGGGAGCCGCCUCACCUCCCUCCUCCCACGCCCUCUCCCCCACCUGCUCCUCUGCCUGUCUGACACCAGGAAUGACUGACUGAAAUUUGGUCCCCAGCAGAAAGCAGGUACUGAGCCAGGACUCACUGGGGGAGUCUAGGCAAGAAUGCUUUUCUUUUCUGGGCCUCAGUUUCCUGAGGCGGCUGGACCCCAAAUGACCUCUAGAGGCUAUGCCAGCUCUCACCCAUGAUUCCUUUUUUUUUUUUUUUCCUUAGAUGGAGUUUUGCUCUUGUUGCCCAAGCUGGAGGGCAGUGGCACGAUCUCAGCUCACUGCAACCUCUGCCUUCCGGGUUCAAGUGAUUCUCCUGUCUUCACUUGAUCUUAGCCAAAAGGCCGAGAAGCGAUGGAUGAUUCUCCUGUCUUAGCCUCCUGAGUAGCUGGGAUUACAGGUGCUCACCACUACACCUGGCUAAUUUUCGGUAUUUUUAGUAGAGACGGGGUUUCAACAUGUUGGCCAGGCUGGUCUCAAACUCCUGGCCUCAGGUAAUCUGCCCACCUCGGCCUCCCAAAGUGCUGGGAUUACAGGAGUGAGCCACCUCACCUGGCCCUCACCCAUGAUUCUAUGAGAAGGAAAUAAACAGAUUUUAAAUGGCUCCCCAAGAAGUCUUGGUUCCCUAGCAGGCCUGAGCCCAGCCCCAACUCCCAGUGUCCCCCUCCAGCCUGUGAAUGGUCUGGGUCCAAGUGGACCUCUGCCCAUUAAACGGCCUCUCUUUGAGAGCUAAGAGGCCCCCAGAUCUAUCCCCUCCAGUCCUAUACCCUCAUGGGGCCCUAUGGGUGUGUAGCCAGCAGCCACCACCUGCGUGCCUUUCAUGUGGACUCAGCAGCCACCUCAUCUCUCCUCCAGGACAUGAGGGAUGGAGCAGGCCUGGCAACUUGGAAAGAAAGUCACUCCUGGUCCCAAGCCCUGUUCAAAGGGCCAGGCUCCCCUCUACCCCACUGUCCAUGUGACGGACCUCAAACAGGUGGACCCCAACUGUUCCUAUAACUCGAAUACCAUCAGCACCUCAGGGGGCUGGAACAGGAUCAGCAGAGGCUGUAGCCAGACCUGGGCCUGGAGGUUCUCCUGCACCCAACGGGCCCUUAUGCCCCCACUAGGAGGCUUGGAAUGGAGCCUCUGACACAGAAGUGGGAGGAGGGAGGAGAGUGCAGAGCCAGAGACCCUGCAGAAGCGGAGGUUUGCAGCAGCUGGAGAGGGCUCAGUCCUCCUGAGCCCCUGCUUUGCAUUGUGUAAUUACCUAGAGGCCAGCAUUGCACUGUGUAACACAGCUUGUGCAGCCUGCUUAGGAGCUUGGGAAACAGCUGUCUGUGAUUUCGCUGGUCCCACAAAGCCCAUUCUACAGAUGAGGAAGCUGAGGCCCAAAGGCUCACGUGAAGCGACCUCUCCUGGCCUCACCAAGAGUAGGGUAGGGGUCGUGCCCACAGAGAGCACAGCAGCAGGAGGGCUCCUGGGCCUCCACUCCCCUCCACUGCACUUGCCAGGCAGCCACUCACAAAGCGUGUUGCUGGCAGGGAUGUGCCAGACUAGGUCUCCUGGCACCGUCCUUGGCCACACUCAAGGAACACAGUUAUCCCUGAUGCUCCUGGCCUCUUCCUGAGCAGCCUUCAGGGCCCCCCGACUCAUGACAGGCCCCUGCCCAACAGGUACAAGUGAAGCUGGUGCUGGACCUGGGCUGCCUCCCACCCUGGUGCCUGGCCUUUGCCCUCUCUAGGGCAUCUGCAUUGACGGACACCACAGCCUUCUACCAAUCUGACCAGCCCAGCCUAGAAGGCCGAUGCAGCUCUGGACCGUGCUCCUGCAGGCUCUCCAGGCUGCUGCCAGCACAUCCUGGGUGAGGCUUGCCGGGACCCACAGGCAACCUGGGCCCCUGCCAAGCCAGAAUCCACUCUUGGCUGUGCCUUUCUCUGCACUGAGCAAAGCAGAUUGGUGGAGCCAGAGGUACCCUUGGGGCAGGCAAGGGAGGAGAAGUGCAUUCCUCGGGGAAAGGCUGGGAGCUACCCAGUCAUAGGUUGGCAAAUUGGUCCCAGGCCAGGGGGUGCCCUGACUUACAGGCUGUGGCUGAUUUCUGCAGUGUAAAUUCUCCCCGUGCCCAGUUUCAGGCUACUAAUGUGUUGUGGACCAGAAGUGGGGAGCAACACAGCCACAGUGCCAGCUACUGCUGAGCUGUCAAACCUUCCGCUGUCCCAGGGGCCACCUACCUAGAGGCCAGCAUUGCACUGUGUAACACAGCUUGUGCAGCCUGCUUAGGAGCUUGGGAAACAGCUGUCUGUGAUUUCGCUGGUCCCACAAAGCCCAUUCUACAGAUGAGGAAGCUGAGGCCCAAAGGCUCACGUGAAGCGACCUCUCCUGGCCUCACCAAGAGUAGGGUAGGGGUCGUGCCCACAGAGAGCACAGCAGCAGGAGGGCUCCUGGGCCUCCACUCCCCUUCCUCAGAAGCCUCCCAGAGUGACAGGAAGGUCAGAGGCCCUGGGGAGGGGCCAGGAUCUGGCAAUUUCCUAUCCCUCUCUGUUGGCCCUGUGCAUCUAAUUAAUCCUUGAGUCAUCUCUUGCUAACCAGGAGGGGAAAUUAAAUAUUAAUAAAGUAAUGCUCUGUGACUGCCCCUUGUUGGGGACAGGGCAGAGGGCAGAUGCUGCCCCAUAUAAACCGGGGACUCAUGUUGUGGAAACGUGCAUAAUGCCUCUGGAAAGAACAACCCCAUAGGAUUCCACACAGUCAGACUGAAAGCUGCUGCUGCUUCCUGCCUUCCUCCUCACCUCCCCCAACCCGGCCACUUUAAUUAAAACUCCAUUUAAUCAAAA